rnacentral:rRNA from 1 species
UACGUAGGUGGCAAGCGUUGUCCGGAUUUACUGGGCGUAAAGAGCGCGCAGGCGGUCGUUCAAGUCGCGUGUGAAAGCCCCCGGCUCAACUGGGGAGGGUCACGCGAUACUGAUCGACUCGAAGGCAGGAGAGGGAAGUGGAAUUCCCGGUGUAGUGGUGAAAUGCGUAGAUAUCGGGAGGAACACCAGUGGCGAAGGCGGCAUCCUGGACCAACACUGACGCUGAGUGAGCGAAAGCCAGGGGAGCAAACGGG